GAUGAAGAACGUAGCGAAAUGCGAUACUUGGUGUGAAUUGCAGAAUCCCGUGAACCAUCGAGUUUUUCAACGCAAGUUGCGCCCGAAGCCGUUAGGCCGAGGGCACGCCUGCCUGGGUGUCACACAUAGUUGCCCCAAUGCCAAUCGCCUCACUUUGUAGGUAUUUGCUUGGGGUGAAUGUUGGCCUCCCGUGAGCUUUGUCUCUCGGUUGGUUGAAAAUCGAGUACAUGGUGUCGGGUGUACCAUGAUGGAUGGUGGUUGAGUGAUGAUGCUCGAGACCAAUCAUGGGUAACUCCACCAGAAUUGGGCUCGGUGACCCACAUGCGUCCCUUGGAUGCUCCCUAAGGAGACCUCAGGUCAGGCGGGGCUACCCGCUGAGUUUAAGCAUAUCAAUAAGCGGAGGA
rnacentral:misc_RNA from 1 species